CUGGAUUAGAUAGUAGUGUCCUAAUUGAUAAUGAAGGGUUUGAACUAACAAAUGAGUCUUGUUUGGAGGGAGCCUUGCUGUGGAGCAUGUUAGGGGAGGAGACGAAGUCAGUGAGUGCUCGGGCUCUAGACUGAAAGGGACUUGACUCUGAACCCAGUCCUGAAGCCUUAGUGGUGGCAGAAGGAAACCAUGAAAAAAUCUGCUUUCUGAAAAAUCAUGUCUUGACUCACACAGUGUUUCUGAGGGAAAGCAGUGGAGCCUGCAGAUGAUGCUACCAGAGUUUCUUUUUGGAGGCAGAGCGUGUGGGAUUGGUGGGCUCACCAAAUUAGAAAACC
rnacentral:lncRNA from 1 species